rnacentral:rRNA from 1 species
UACAGAGGGGGGCAAGCGUUAUUCGGAAUUAUUGGGCGUAAAGGGCGCGUAGGCGGCUUGGCAAGUGGAUGGUGAAAUCCCCUCGGCUUAACCGAGGAACUGCCGUCCAAACUGCUUCGCUUGAGACCGGGAGAGGUGAGUGGAAUUCCCAGUGUAGCGGUGAAAUGCGUAGAUAUUGGGAGGAACACCAGUGGCGAAGGCGGCUCACUGGAC